GUGGGGAAUCUUCCGCAAUGGACGAAAGUCUGACGGAGCAACGCCGCGUGAGUGAAGAAGGUUUUCGGAUCGUAAAGCUCUUUCGUUAGGGACGAACGUGCUCUUUGUGAAUAAUGAGGAGUAAUGACGGUACCUAAAUAAGAAGCCACGGCUAACUACGUGCCAGCAGCCGCGGUAAUACGUAGGUGGCAAGCGUUGUCCGGAAUUAUUGGGCGUAAAGCGCGCGCAGGCGGGAUAUCAAGUCUGGCUUAAAAGUGCGAGGCUCAACCUCGUGAGGGGACAGAAACUGGUAUUCUUGAGUGUCGGAGAGGAAAGUGAAAUUCCAAGUGUAGCGGUGAAAUGCGUAGAGAUUUGGAAGAACACCAGUGGCGAAGGCGACUUUCUGGACGAUGUCUGACGCUGAGGCGCGAAAGCUAGGGGAGCGAACGGGAUUAGAAACCCGGGUAGUCC
rnacentral:rRNA from 1 species